AGCUCAGCUGGUUCAGAGCAUCCCGACUUAAAGUCGGGAGGGUCACAGGUUCAAGACCCUCUA
rnacentral:tRNA from 1 species